CCAUGUGGAAAUCCAUCUUUAUCGCUGGUCGGAAACGUGCCAUGUUUCAUCCCUCCGGUUACCCAGGAAUCGUGGGAGCUGCAACAGGUGGAAAGCCUCCAACAGCUCGACGUGGGGGCUCAAUGGGCUGGUGUGACCCGGCUGUACGGACGUUGAGACUCUCGGAUCCGGUAUGAGACUUGCAGGUGGCAUCGGCUUCUUGGACAGGUACGGAGGGCUAAUUCUCUACUGGUUUUACCUGCUGAUUCUUGGUGACAGAUUGUCCGGAUGCACUGGUGAUAUCACACUGUACGGCAGCCUCUCUAUGACAGUGAUGAGAAUGACAAGGACAGUUUCUAGUCAGUGUACCUAGCAGUUAUUCGGAUCAACAGGUCAUAGACGACAGGUGAAACAACUUUAACGACGGUAAACGGUCCGGAAAACUUCGGAGCCA